rnacentral:rRNA from 1 species
UGGGGAAUAUCGCACAAUGGGCGCAAGCCUGAUGCAGCCAUGCCGCGUGUAUGAAGAAGGCCUUCGGGUUGUAAAGUACUUUCAGUCGGGAGGAAGGUGGUAAGGUUAAUAACCUUAUCAAUUGACGUUACCGACAGAAGAAGCACCGGCUAACUCCGUGCCAGCAGCCGCGGUAAUACGGAGGGUGCAAGCGUUAAUCGGAAUUACUGGGCGUAAAGCGCACGCAGGCGGUUGAUUGAGUCAGAUGUGAAAUCCCCGGGCUUAACCCGGGAAUUGCAUCUGAUACUGGUCAGCUAGAGUCUUGUAGAGGGGGGUAGAAUUCCAUGUGUAGCGGUGAAAUGCGUAGAGAUGUGGAGGAACACCAGUGGCGAAGGCGGCUCUCUGGUCUGUAACUGACGCUGAGGCUCGAAAGCGUGGGGAGCAAACAGG